GACGAACGCUGGCGGCGUGCCUAAUACAUGCAAGUAGAACGCACAGUUUAUACCGUAGCUUGCUACACCAUACACUGUGAGUUGCGAACGGGUGAGUAACGCGUAGGUAACCUGCCUGGUAGCGGGGGAUAACUAUUGGAAACGAUAGCUAAUACCGCAUAAUAUUGAUUAUUGCAUGAUAAUUGAUUGAAAGAUGCUAUUGCAUCACUACCAGAUGGACCUGCGUUGUAUUAGCUAGUAGGUGAGGUAACGGCUCACCUAGGCGACGAUACAUAGCCGACCUGAGAGGGUGAUCGGCCACACUGGGACUGAGACACGGCCCAGACUCCUACGGGAGGCAGCAGUAGGGAAUCUUCGGCAAUGGACGAAAGUCUGACCGAGCAACGCCGCGUGAGUGAAGAAGGUUGUCGGAUCGUAAAGCUCUGUUGUAAGAGAAGAACGGGUGUGAGAGUGGAAAGUUCACACUGUGACGGUAUCUUACCAGAAAGGGACGGCUAACUACGUG
rnacentral:rRNA from 1 species